AUUGAACGCUGGCGGCAUGCUUUACACAUGCAAGUCGAACGGUAACAGGCCUUCGGGUGCUGACGAGUGGCGCACGGGUGAGUAAUGCAUCGGAACGUACCCAGAGGUGGGGGAUAACGCAGCGAAAGCUGUGCUAAUACCGCAUGUGAUCUGAGGAUGAAAGCGGGGGACCGAGCAGCAAUGUUUGGCCUCGCGCCUUUGGAGCGGCCGAUGUCGGAUUAGCUAGUUGGUGGGGUAAAGGCCUACCAAGGCGACGAUCCGUAGCUGGUCUGAGAGGACGACCAGCCACACUGGGACUGAGACACGGCCCAGACUCCUACGGGAGGCAGCAGUCGGGAAUUUUGGACAAUGGGCGCAAGCCUGAUCCAGCAAUGCCGCGUGAGGGAAGAAGGCCUUCGGGUUGUAAACCGCUUUUGGCAGGAACGAAACGGUGUCCGCUAAUACCGGGCGCUAAUGACGGUACCUGCAGAAUAAGCACCGGCUAACUACGUG
rnacentral:rRNA from 1 species